AUGAGACCCCUUCCCGGCCGACGGCGAGGCUGCCCGGAAACCGACGGGAGCUUCCGGGUCGUGGUGGCCGCUGCAGGGGGUGGUUUCCCGCUGCUGUUCCUGCGAGGCCGGCGUCCUCCCGCCGUGAGACGUUGGUCUGUCGGGUGGGCAGCACGUCCGUCCGUUCGCGAGAGGCACGGUGGCACCAUGCUGGACCCCGCCAGUCCGCGCGCGCCGUGCAGACAGCCCAGGAGGCCUGAGGGCGCUCCCCCGACCCCCAGGACGCCCGCGCUCCGGCCUGGCCCAGGGCCCCCCGCGAGGACGGACGCACGCACGUCGGGAAGGUCUUUGUUUCAAAGCAUAAAAACUUACUGGGACCUGAAUCCUGGACGACUGGACAAUUUGAAGAGACUGGUUGUGGAAAAGGACUAUGGUUGUGGUGGCUGUGGACUGAAUAAUUUGAAGGGACUACGGCUGGUCUAAGGUAGAGGUAAAGAUAGAAGAAAGAUUGCUACUUCCUAGAGAAAAAGCUCUCACUGCCUUUAUACAGCCAGCCAGUUGGAGGAAAGGCCCUAAUUAUCUUUCCAAGUUCUGGCACUCAGACUCUAUUUCCUAUUUUGGCUUAAGAUCAAACAAAAUGUGAAAGGAAUAAAAAAGAAAUCAACAAGGCA
rnacentral:lncRNA from 1 species